rnacentral:rRNA from 1 species
GGAUUAGAUACCCUGGUAGUCCCAGCCGUAAACGAUGUGUACUUGAUGUAAAUGGAAUCAACCCCAUUUGUGUCGAAGCUAACGCGAUAAGUACACCGCCUGGGGAGUACACUCGCAAGGGUGAAACUCAAAAGAAUUGACGGGGGCCCGCACAAGCAGUGGAGCAUGUGGUUUAAUUCGAUGCAACGCGAAGAACCUUACCCAGACUUGACAUAUAGUAGACCGGUUCAGAGAUGAGCCUUUCCUUCGGGACUGCUAUACAGGUGCUGCAUGGCUGUCGUCAGCUCGUGCCG